rnacentral:misc_RNA from 1 species
GUAUGUGGAAUGCAACUUGAAACUGUGUAUUAAUUCAUAGAAUCGCAUGGUUAUUUAGAGCUGAGUAAAUUUGAUUUCUGGCAUGGAAGAAUACUCGUGCUCUUUUUUAACUUGCUAUCUGUUUAAUAGGGAUUAAAUAUGUAUCGCGAAUUUUGGCAAAGUUGCAAAGUCAUUGCUAAGCCGUUAAUAGCUGGUUGUCACAUGUGUAGGGGAGGAGCAUAUUGCUUAUCAAUAGAUUUCAAAAUGACGUAAUGAAUGAGUAAUGUUGUCGAUCUAUGGAGGUAAUUAUUGUAAUUACAUUUACCCAUUCGUAUUUAUUUAAAACUAUCUUCGCUGCUGGGUGCCGGAAUCACCCUGUGGCCUGGUAGAUUUAACAAAAACCGUUAAGUUUUGAAAAUGGAAAAUAUAACUGUAUUGUUGGGAAGUACCAGAUUAAAUUACCUGGAAAGGGCUUUAGUUUGUUUCACCCCAUGACAAAUCGUGCGAUCAAGUGGUGAAUGAUAAGUUGAGGACUCAUAAGACAAGUGAAUUAAUGGUGAAAUAAAACUAUUGCACUUAUUUGCACUUACAAUAACCUGGAGCAAGUUGGUAUCUUACAUGAUCCAUUGCUAAUGAGCAACCAUGACAACCGUUGCUAGGCAAACACAUUGUUAUUGUGUUUUGGCUCCUGCCAAAUAAAUUCAUCCACUAAAGGUGGAAAACCGGCGUGAUGACUCUUUACUUUGACACGAAAAUCGAGUUCCUGGACUCGGAUGCAGUCAGCACCAUCAGCAGCUGGCAUCCCAGUGAGCCGCUCUUCGCAGUGGCCUCUUUUAGUCCCGAAAGAGGCGGUUCGGUGACCAUCUUUGCGGAUACCGGUGAGCCCCAGCGGGAUGUAACUUAUCCGGUGCACGCCACUUCGCAGGCAACGGCACUAUGCUGGCAUCCGGAGAAGGCACUCCUGGCCAGCGGUUGGGAGCACGGCGACAUCCAUGUGUGGUUCGCUGGUCACAGGGAGUUUGCCAGCGUGAACGCACCGCACAAGGCGGCCAUCGUUCUGCUGCAGUUCAGCGAGCAGGGUGGGCGGAUGGUCACGGCGGAUGCCAUGGGUCUGGUCACAGGAUGGCGCUGCGAUGGCCAGUACCAGUUCCUGACCAUGUUCUCCCACGACUUGCGGGAGGUGUUGCUGCUGAUCUGCUUCCGUCUUACGGUGGAGAGCGAGGUGCGCGAGGAGAUGGCCAAUCUAGCCAAGGCUGCAGUGGCAGGCGAUGAGAACGCCCUGGACACCCUAACCAAUUGGAGGCCGCGCACAGCAGCCCGGAGCAUGACCCACUCGGGGGUGAGGGACAACCACUGCUUCUACGCUUGCACCCAAGGAGGAGUGGUGUACUACAUCAACCAAGGAGGCGCCUGUGUCGAGGUGAUGAAGUGCGGCUCACUGCCUCCCAUUGUCCAGAUGUUGUGGCACCCAAGAAAGGACGCCGUCAUUUGCCUAAUGGAGGACUUGACAGUCACCUUGUUUUUGGUUGAAUCCACUGGCAUCCUCACGGAGCUGGAUCGUGUUAAAAUGAGCGGACGGGGAGGAGGUCGGCAGGGCGGCAUCGCGUGGUCUGGAAACUCUCUGGCCAUAAUAACAGGCGAUUUCUUCGUCCGCAUUUGGGACAUCGAGAGAAGCGACAAUUACCUAUUGAAAAUGGACCUACCCAGUGGCAACCAGCCAGGCUCAUCUAUGACCACUUUAAGUAAUGGCACCAUGUCCUCGUCCAACCAAUUCUUUAGCCAUGACAGCAGCGAGAGCAGCGGCGUUCUCCGCAAGACACCAAAGUACGGCCAGCUAAACGGCGAAAUGUUCACCUGCUUGGCAUAUAGCUCUACGGGACAGACUCUGUGUGCAGGAACGUCCCAGGGGAAUGUCUACACCUGGAAGAGGAGCGGCAGCAGGCUAGUCGGUGCCCCCGAAGAUGCCUGGCAGCUGACGAACAUAUCUUCAGUGAGAGGAGCCAUCCGCAGCUGCGAGUGGGGAUACAACGAGCUUGCCAAGCCCUGCAUGCUGGUCAACUGCCUUUCCAAUGUAUUCAUGCUGAAGGAGCAACCUCUGCUCGCCGUUCAUACCCGCGAACUGUGGGCAGUUCAGAGGUCGGCCAAAUCAGUGCAGUUGACGCACUGCAGUGGUCGGGAGGCCAUGGUUCAGUCUGAGUUCGCCGUGACUGCCAUGGCUUUGAGUGAACUGAGCUUAGUGAUAAGUAAUGGCAGGAGCAUAUCGUCCUAUAGCCUGCAGAAAGUGGAGAAGAGCCUGGAUGAGUUUGAGGAGAUCUUGCAGACAGUGGAGGGCACUACCCCCACGACGGAAUCUACCACCACUCCGUUGAGUCUGAAACUCCUGCAGACCUUUGCUGCCGAAUGCUUAGCCUUGAAUCUGUGCAACCAGAACAUAUUUUGCCUGGGUAGCAGUGACAUUUUUGUUUACUCCGUGGGAGGGGUAGUGCUUCACCGCAUACAAGCCAGCGACAUUGAGGGAAAAAUCAUCGGCAUGGAUUUGAGUGUCUGCUAUCUCUCGGUAUUUACCAUGAAUGGAUAUGUGAAAGCUUACGACGUUUGUAGGCACGAUCCCAAGUUGCUUUUUCCCAGCAAAUCGGGUCACGACAUUUUCGAUGACUUCGGGGAGUUCAUUCUGGUCAAGUGCAAUAGCUCCGGCAGCCACUUGGCCAUGGUGAUAGCCAGUAGAAAUUUCACCCCUAUAUCUACUUUAUUCUGCUGGGACUUUGAGCGCACCAAUCUUCUGGAGUAUGGACUACUGGAGCAAGAAACCAACGCCAAGAAGGAGUCUUCGACAAGUCUACCGGUUCGGAUUUUCUGGGAUGCAGAGGAACCUCGUCUCUUGGCUACAGAAGUAAAGUCCAUGAUUCAGAAGACCCUGCCCCAGAAGAGCUCCUUGCAACCCAGUCAUUUCGUGCAGUCAAAAGUCGUCCUUUUGUUUUAUUCCGAGAAAGGCCUGAAUGUCCUUGAAACACAAUCCAUGAGCCCAGGCUCUCAGCUACUGAACCUUUGUGUACCCAACGUGAUCCGGCUGAAGAUCAAUACGAUGGAGGAGCAACCUCUGCAAGACUUCGUGGACCUACAGCAGUGCAAUCCAGUUACGAGAAAGCAAGUCCUGAAUUUCAGUCUCUACGUUGCGGAGGGAAAUAUGGAUCUGGCUUAUCGCAGCAUUCGCUCUAUUCAAUCGAAAGUGAUCUGGACCAAUCUGGCUAAGAUGUGCGUGCACACGAAUCGCUUGGACGUGGCCAAGGUGUGCAUGGGCCACUUGGAACAGGCCCGCUCCGUUCGUGCCUUACGGCAAGCCAUUGAAGAUGACGAUUUGGAGACGGAAGCCAAGGUGGCUGUGCUGGCGAUAGAACUCGGAAUGAUUGAGGAAGCCAAGGAUCUCUAUCGUCGAUGCAAGCGCUUCGAUUUGCUAAACAAGCUGCUCCAGUCGAUUGGGCACUUGGACGAAGCAGUAGAGCUGGCCGAGACAGAGGAUCGGAUUCAUUUGAAGCACACGUACUAUCAAAAGGCACAGGAGCUGCGAGAGAGGGGUGACAUUAAGGGAGCUCUGGAGUACUUUGAAAAGACCCAGAAUCCUGCGCAAAAUAUUACCCAGCUGCUUUUGGAAAACCCUGGCGCCAUGAAGCGCUACAUCCAGACCACCAGCGAUCCCAAGCUGCUUAAGUGGUGGGGCCAGUAUAUUGAGAGCUCCGGCGACAUGGAUGCUGCUCUGGCAGUCUACCACAAGGCGGAGGACUGGUUCUCGCAGGUAAAGAUUCUCUGCUACCUAGGCAAGAUCUCCAAGGCAGACGCGAUUGCCAGGCAGUCGGGGGAUCGGGCGGCCUGCUAUCACUUGGCGAGGCAUUACGAGAACGUGGGCAAGUUCCAGGAGGCCAUCAUGUUCUUUACGCGUGCCCAGACCUUCAGCAAUGCGAUCCGCAUCUGCAAGGAGAACGACUUUCAGGAGGAACUAUGGACGGUGGCCAGCUCCUCCAGACAGAGGGAUAAGGCCAUUGCGGCAGCUUACUUUGAAGAGUGCGGAAACUUUAAGCACGCCGUUGAACUCUACCAUCGGGCCGGGAUGCUCCACAAGGCCCUCGAGAUGGCAUUUGAGUCUCAGCAGCCAGAGAUCCUGGAAAUUAUUGCCUCGGACCUGGCGCCCGAUUCUGAUGCCGAGUUGAUCAACCGCUGUGCGGAUUUCUUUUGUAGUAUCGAGCAAUUUCAGAAGGCCGUGCAUCUGCUGGCCAAGACCAGACAUCUGGAGCGGGCCUUGGGCAUUUGUUCCGAGAAGGGCGUACCCGUCACGGAGGAACUGUCCGAGAUGCUUACUCCGGAGAAGGGGGAGUUCGAGGAGGCGACUCGAGUCCACAUCCUCGUACAGCUGGGCGAGCUCCUCCAGCAGCAGGGCGACUAUCACAGUGCCACCAAGAAGUUCACCCAGGCUGGCGACAAAAUUCGGGCCAUGAAGAGUCUUUUGAAGUCGGGCAACACCGACAAAAUUAUUUUCUUCGCUAAUAUGUCGAGGCAACGUGAGGUCUACAUCAUGGCUGCGAACUAUCUUCAAGCCUUGGACUGGCAAUCGGAUCCGCAAGUGCUCAAGCACAUAGUCACGUUUUAUACAAAGGGCCAGGCCUUUGAUUCGCUGGCCAAUUUUUAUGCCAUCUGCGCCCAGAUCGAAAUCGAGGAGUUCCAGGACUACGGUAAGGCUCUGACCGCCAUGCAGGAAGCCUCCAAAUGCCUGGAGAAGCUCAGCCACGCCCAGCACGUCUACAACAAUCUGCAGCGCACGGUCGCGGAUGUUAAAGCAAUCCUGGAGAUCCAGCAGGCAUUGCGCGAGGGGGAUCACCAGCUGGUCAUUGGCUCCUGCCGCAGCAUGCUGAUUAAGCCCGAACUGCCGCCCAUCCGCCACGCCCACAUCUUGUCCAUGCUGAUCCGAGCCCUGGUCUACGUCAAGGACUAUUCUGAGGCGGGCAGAGCUUUGAAGGAACUGACCGUGAAGGACAGUACGUGGAGUGCCUCGGGACUCUUGGAUCGCGGCAUCGUUCACAAAAUUGCACAGGAAUGCCACUUGGAGUUCGAUCUCAUCUGGAAUGCGGGACGCCAGGUGACCGCCUCCACAAGCGGCACGGCCGCCACUGGAAUGAGCAGCACUUCUGGGAUGACGACCACUGAUGAUGACGAGGCCGAUGACGAGGAGAUCACCGAGGAGCUGCAUUAGAUGAUUCAAAUAAUGGGCGAUGCAGCAACUAGUCACGUCCCAGUUCCGCAGAGCGGAUAACACGUAAAUAGGCAAAAGAGUUCCCUUUAAAUGGGAUAAGGCUACAACUUAGCUUCACAGACACAUUUGGGAUAUACUUCAGAGAUACAUCUUGAUUCGUUAUUAAGUAAGAAUAUAUUCUUCUUAAAAGAAA